ensembl:processed_transcript 4930597O21Rik RIKEN cDNA 4930597O21 gene
AAGUUGGGUGUGAUCAGGAUAGCUGUAUGAAAUUGUCAAAGAAUAAAUAAAAUAUAUUCUUUAAAAGAUCAAACAGAAAUAAAUAAGUACUAGCAUUGGGUGAGGAUGCACUGUGGAGUAGGUCUUGGGGAUGCUAGGAUCUAGGUACUGAAUCCCACUGAAGGCCUUAAAUUCACUCCUGUUUGCACUCUGACUCAAGAAUGCCUUGCCUGGCCAGUGUGGUCUGAGCAGCCUCCAGAGGAUGUUCUUGUUGAUGUACAAACCUCAGCCUGCCUUUUAUUUCCUACUUUCUACAGUGUUAGGAAACACUUGGCUGAUUCAGAUCGCGACAGUUCAAAGAUGCACCCUAAACAGAAUGGCCAGACACAAGAAUGGACUAUUAUGGUUGUGAUUUCCACCACUGGAUCAUUAUAUAGCCCAGUUAAGUACUUCAUGUACUUUUAAUUUUUCUCUCACUAAUCUGUGACAAGAACAAACAAAGUGGCUUGUUGAAGAAUGUCUGUUGUUGAAGAAUUGUAACCACAGAACAGUCUUUAAGCGGUUAUCUGCAUAAGGAGAGAACAGAAAUCCAAGAUCAUGUACAAACUUGUGCAGAAAUUGUCUAUUGACAUCAAGUUGUUUGAAAUACGGUCUUUUAUUUUGUCUCCCCUCACACAUUAUCCAUUUUUUAUUUCUUUUUUUGUACUAAAAGGUCAGCCUGCAACAAAUUAAGAAUAAAAUACAAUUAAUCAUUUAUACCCGCAGGAGUCUGCAUCUUCAAAUUCAACUACAGAUUGAAAGUAUUUGAAAAUAAAGUUGAGUCUGUCCU